GGCAAUGUUCUGCUGGGAAACCUUGGGUCCUGCCAUCAGCAUAUUAUACCAUGUCUACAAAGGAUACAACAUCUUGAGGCUGUCUAUACUGGAUGCAACAAAGCGACCAUUGCAAAUCCAUUUGUUCUUUGUGUCAGAAGCAGCGCAAGCACAUGUAGUACUUCAGAAAUAGAAUGGGGCAUCAGUUUACUGAUGGGGAAUUUUUCACACUGCAUCCAGUGUAGACAGCAUCACUGAUUAUAAUGGUUUUUAUUUGCUUUUGUCACGUCACUUGCAUCUGGUGUGGUGUUAGAAUGAUUUCUGAAAGUUCAUGUGACACUGAAGACUGGAGUAAUGAUGCUGAAAAUUCAGCUUUGCAUCACAGAAAUAAAUUCCAUUUUAAAAUGCAUACAAAUACAAAAACAGUUAUUUUAAAUCAUUAUUAAAAUUUUCAGUAUUACUGUUUUUACUGUAUUCUUGAUCAAGUAAAUGCAGCCUUUUGAACAGUAGCGUAAAAUCAUAUAAUGAGACCAUUUAAUAACUCGGCGUCAACAGACCUUAGUCAGGUAAGACGACGUAUUGAAUUUAACGCGAAUGAAAACAAGCCUGUGAGGGAUAGACUUAGUCUUUACAAUGGCAUGCACAAAAAAAGGUCCUAGAUAAUGUCAUUUUCACAACUUUUAAAACUCUGUUUUUUUUCUACUGAAAGUCUAAAUAGUGAAAUGCAACGAUUUGUUUCAGAUGAUCAGCUGAAGUGUACUGUAGUCGAGUAAGUGGAAAGCGGCCUCCUUAGUGCAGGUGUGCAUCUUUCCAUUCACAUUCCAGAGGCCCUCCAUCACAAAUGAAGGAUGAUGCCUGGAUCUCUGUUUAUUUACUAGCUUCGAAACCAGAUCUGGCCAAUUUAAGGGUUCGCUCCCUCCCUCCCUCUCUCUCUCUGUCUCUCUCUCCUCCAUUGAUACAUGGUUAAUGGUUGUCAGAUGUGGCAGUGUUAGUGGGGCUCGAGAUGUAUUUGUUUGCUCUGGCUGAUUUCCUCAGACUAAACUGGUAUCUGUCCUCGCCAGUUGGUUUAUAUCAAAACACGGGUGACUGUAGCGGCUCCACCUGGUAAAACAAGAUGGGAUCUGGACUGACAGGAGUGUAACAUCUUUCUAAACGUACGAGCAGUUUACUGAGCGAAGCCAUCUGACCUGCGCAUGUUAUUUUAGUGCUAAAUCCUGCUGCGUGGACGGGAGAUAAGGAACGUGUGAAAAUAACAUUUCUGUGUUUGUCUGCAAGAGCAGGCCAGACUGAAUUAUGAGGCAUGGACACCACAUGGCACAUGCUAUAUUUAGUUUAGCGGGUUGUUGCAGGAGAAGGAACAUAUUGCUUGAUUUGAAGUAAAACACUUUUCUGAUUAAACCGUUUGGUCUGAGAGGUCCAGUUUCCAAACACUGUUGGGCAUUAGAUCAAAAAAGUCUAAAAAGUGCUGGGUUUACAUCUUCUGAAGCUGUUUAAGGUGUCUUAGUUAUGGUGUGCUGUCUGUUGCAAACCGCAAGUUUUUUUUUGCCGUCAUGAAGUGUUUAUGCGCUGGUUAUCGCCUGUCUGCUUGAAUUAGCCAUUUUCUGUGUGCUCCACAUGCUAGGUUCUAAUGAGUUCAUCGAAAACAUAUCUGUUUUGGGAUGCAAUGUAGUUUGUUUCCCUAUCACUGAUUCACAGGUGUGUCACGUCCCCUCCACGGCUGUGUGGAACAGCCCACUUUGAGUUCACUCCUGCUGGCCUAGAGAGGCACUGCGGCCUCGUUUUCCUCCACAGUUACAGAUCAGAAAGAAAUGAAGAUGUGCCAAUCUGUUUGGAUUUCCUCAUUCACCACAGUCAUCUCAUUCAUUCCUGACUGAUCCAGGUUGCAUUGCCAAGUGAGGGACGGAGAUUGAGAGCCUCAUUUAUACAAACACACAUACAGAACGGCCAUUUAAAGGUAACCUAUUUCAGAAUGUUUUUUUCUAUCAUACACUCUUAAAAAUAAAAGUUCAGAAAAGGGUUUUUUAUACAGCGACACCACAGAGGAAGCAUUUUUGGUGAGGAACCUUCCAGUGAAAAGUGGAUUUUCUCAGUGUGAAGAACAUUUUAAUAAUUGAAAGAACCUUUUUCCACUAUAAAGAAUCUUUUGUGGAAUGAAAAGGUUCCAUGGAUGUUAAAGGUUCUUCAUCAACCAUCAAUGCCAAUAAAGAACCUUUAUUUUUAGGAGUGUAUGUUGUUCCCUUGAAUAAGAUAUGGUGUGAUAACAUGGUACAGUGAAAGUACUACUAUGAUACUAAAUGAUGUACUGUGGUAUUUGGGUAGAUUUUCGAGAAGUUGACAUGUCUUGCAGUGGAACAUGCAAGACUCCUUUCAAAGCCAUUUUAAACAGCAUUAUGCUAAUUAUUUUAUAAUUAUUAUUCAUGCAACUUUAUAACCUCAUAUUAAUCAAGAAACUACAUGGAAUAUUUGUACUUUUUACAAAUCCAUUCAUC